rnacentral:rRNA from 1 species
UACGGAGGGUGCAAGCGUUAUCCGGAUUCACUGGGUUUAAAGGGUGCGUAGGCGGGUAAGUAAGUCCGUGGUGAAAUCUCUGAGCUUAACUCAGAAACUGCCGUGGAUACUAUUUGCCUUGAAUAUUGUGGAGGUGAGCGGAAUAUGUCAUGUAGCGGUGAAAUGCUUAGAUAUGACAUAGAACACCAAUUGCGAAGGCAGCUCACGACACAAUCAUUGACGCUGAGGCACGAGAGCGUGGGGAUCAAACAGG